GACGAACGCUGGCGGCGUGCCUAAUACAUGCAAGUUGAGCGCUGAAGGUUGGUACUUGUACCAACUGGAUGAGCAGCGGACGGGUGAGUAAUGCGUGGGGAAUCUGCCUUUGAGCGGGGGACAACAUUUGAAAACGAAUGCUAAUACCGCAUAAAAACUUUAAACACAAGUUUUAAGUUUGAAAGAUGCAAUUGCAUCACUCAAAGAUGAUCUCGCGUUGUAUUAGCUAGUUGGUGAGGUAAAGGCUCACCAAGGCGAUGAUACAUAGCCGACCUGAGAGGGUGAUCGGCCACAUUGGGACUGAGACACGGCCCAAACUCCUAAGGGAGGCAGCAGGAGGGAAUCUUCGGCAAUGGACGAAAGUCUGACCGAGCAACGCCGCGUGAGUGAAGAAGGUUUUCGGAUCGUAAAACUCUGUUGGUAGAGAAGAACGUUGGUGAGAGUGGAAAGCUCAUCAAGUGACGGUAACUACCCAGAAAGGGACGGCUAACUACGUG
rnacentral:rRNA from 1 species